UUAUCGUUUAUUUGAUAGUACCUUACUACUUGGAUAACCGUGGUAAUUCUAGAGCUAAUACAUGCUAAAAACCCCAACUUCGGGAGGGGUGUAUUUAUUAGAUAAAAAACCAAUGCCCUUCGGGGCUCUUUGGUGAUUCAUAAUAACUUAACGGAUCGCAUGGCCUUGCGCCGGCGACGGUUCAUUCAAAUUUCUGCCCUAUCAACUUUCGAUGGUAAGGUAUUGGCUUACCAUGGUUUCAACGGGUAACGGGGAAUUAGGGUUCGAUUCCGGAGAGGGAGCCUGAGAAACGGCUACCACAUCCAAGGAAGGCAGCAGGCGCGCAAAUUACCCAAUCCCGACACGGGGAGGUAGUGACAAUAAAUACUGAUACAGGGCUCAUUUGGGUCUUGUAAUUGGAAUGAGUACAAUUUAAACCCCUUAACGAGGAACAAUUGGAGGGCAAGUCUGGUGCCAGCAGCCGCGGUAAUUCCAGCUCCAAUAGCGUAUAUUAAAGUUGUUGCAGUUAAAAAGCUCGUAGUUGAAACUUGGGCCUGGCUGGCCGGUCCGCCUCACCGCGUGUACUGGUCCGGCCGGGCCUUUCCUUCUGGAGAGCCUCAUGCCCUUCACUGGGUGUGUUGGGGAACCAGGACUUUUACUUUGAAAAAAUUAGAGUGUUCAAAGCAGGCCUUUGCUCGAAUACGUUAGCAUGGAAUAAUAGAAUAGGACGUGCGAUCCUAUUUUGUUGGUUUCUAGGACCGCCGUAAUGAUUAAUAGGGAUAGUCGGGGGCAUCAGUAUUCAAUUGUCAGAGGUGAAAUUCUUGGAUUUAUUGAAGACUAACUACUGCGAAAGCAUUUGCCAAGGAUGUUUUCAUUAAUCAGUGAACGAAAGUUAGGGGAUCGAAGACGAUCAGAUACCGUCGUAGUCUUAACCGUAAACUAUGCCGACUAGGGAUCGGGCGAUGUUAUUAUUUUGACUCGCUCGGCACCUACGAGAAAUCAAA
rnacentral:rRNA from 1 species